GGGGAUGAAGGCAAAAGACACAUUAAUGCAGUCUUCAAGGAGCUAAGACCUUGAUAUAGGAUGAGGGCAGAGAGGAAGGGAUGUCUUUGGAGAAACUUUUGAUGUCUUGCAGGCACGAGAUGAGUUCACAAGCAAUCAGUGCUGGAAGGAUGUGCAAAAUAAAAGUUAAGAGAAGCUGAGGAUAUAGAAGGCAUCCUGAAAGUAAAACAGCUGAGGACCACAAAGCAUAUCAUGGAAAAUCUGUUAAGCAGGGGAGGUCAGGGUUGGAGCAGGCUCUAGACCACGGCCUCUAUCAUGAAUGCACCAGUGGUAUCAAGGCCGAUAUUCUGAAAAGUAACUAGCAUACCAGGCUUCAGGAGCUUACCUUCCGGGUCUGGGGACAGUGACAAGCCCAAGCUCCAGGAAGACUAUCAAAGGGAAACAACUGCUAUUAGGGCAGCAGGAGAAACAAGCACUGGAGAGAGGCUGAGUAUGUGAAUAAUCCCACACUGUGAUCACUCAUGACCUGCUAAAAGCUCUGGCUUGCCUCAUUUGAAGAAAUAAUCAAAUUCUG
rnacentral:lncRNA from 1 species